ACACAUGCAAGUCGAGGGGCAGCGGUGGUGAAGGCUUGCCUUUACCAGCCGGCGACCGGCGCACGGGUGAGUAACACGUAUGCAACCUGCCUGCCACAGCCGGAUAAUCGGGAGAAAUUCCGUCUAAUACGGCAUAAUGCACCUAUGGGACAUCCUGUUGGUGCCAAAGGUUGAUUCCGGUGGCGGAUGGGCAUGCGUCGCAUUAGUUAGUUGGCGGUGUAACGGACCACCAAGACGACGAUGCGUAGGGGUUCUGAGAGGAAGGUCCCCCACACUGGUACUGAGACACGGACCAGACUCCUACGGGAGGCAGCAGUGAGGAAUAUUGGUCAAUGGGCGGGAGCCUGAACCAGCCAAGUCGCGUGAGGGAUGACGGCCCUAUGGGUUGUAAACCUCUUUUGCCGGGGAGCAAAGUGCCGUACGUGUGCGGUUUGGAGAGUACCCGGAGAAAAAGCAUCGGCUAACUCCGUGCCAGCAGCCGCGGUAAUACGGAGGAUGCGAGCGUUAUCCGGAUUUAUUGGGUUUAAAGGGUGCGUAGGCGGACGCUUAAGUCAGCGGUAAAAUUGCGGGGCUCAACCUCGUCGAGCCGUUGAAACUGGGUGCCUUGAGUGGGCGAGAAGUACGCGGAAUGCGUGGUGUAGCGGUGAAAUGCAUAGAUAUCACGCAGAACUCCGAUUGCGAAGGCAGCGUACCGGCGCCCAACUGACGCUGAAGCACGAAGGCGUGGGUAUCGAACAGGAUUAGAUACCCUGGUAGUCCACGCAGUAAACGAUGAAUGCUAGUUGUCCGGGGCGAUUGAGUUCUGGGUGACACAGCGAAAGCGUUAAGCAUUCCACCUGGGGAGUACGCCGGCAACGGUGAAACUCAAAGGAAUUGACGGGGGCCCGCACAAGCGGAGGAACAUGUGGUUUAAUUCGAUGAUACGCGAGGAACCUUACCCGGGCUCAAACGCAGGAGGGAUGUUUUUGAAAGGAGGCAGCCAGCAAUGGUCUCCUGCGAGGUGCUGCAUGGUUGUCGUCAGCUCGUGCCGUGAGGUGUCGGCUUAAGUGCCAUAACGAGCGCAACCCCUACCUACAGUUGCCAUCGCGUGAUGGCGGGCACUCUGUGGGGACUGCCUGCGCAAGCAGUGAGGAAGGCGGGGAUGACGUCAAAUCAGCACGGCCCUUACGUCCGGGGCGACACACGUGUUACAAUGGCAGGUACAGCGGGAAGCCACCCGGCGACGGGGCGCGGAACCCGAAAACCUGUCUCAGUUCGGAUUGGAGUCUGCAACCCGACUCCAUGAAGCUGGAUUCGCUAGUAAUCGCGCAUCAGCCACGGCGCGGUGAAUACGUUCCCGGGCCUUGUACACACAGGCCGUCAAG
rnacentral:rRNA from 1 species